rnacentral:rRNA from 1 species
UACGAAGGGGGCUAGCGUUGCUCGGAAUCACUGGGCGUAAAGCGCACGUAGGCGGCUUCUUAAGUCAGGGGUGAAAUCCUGGAGCUCAACUCCAGAACUGCCUUUGAUACUGAGGAGCUUGAGUCCGGGAGAGGUGAGUGGAACUCCGAGUGUAGAGGUGAAAUUCGUUGAUCUACAGAGGAACACCAAAAAAGGCGAAGGCAGCCAACUAUUCUAUUCCUGACAUUGAGGCAUGAAAGCGUGGGGAGCAAACCGG